CAACAAAGGGGAAACCAUGAGUGAGCAGGCAGGUUAUCUAUGAAGAAAUGUCUGUCUUGCUGGAUGAGGGGAAAGCACAAGAUAUGUCUACCCAGAAUUCACUGUCCAGAAGAACCUCAACAAGCUAGGGAAAGGGGCUGACAGGGAUUUCAUUCAACUUGUACUCAACAAGGAAUGCAGUGUCCUACAUUUGGAACAGCAAAUCUCCAGGCACAAGAACAGGAAAGGCAACCAGAGGGAAAGCACCUUUGCAGAAAAGGAUCUGAUCAAAGGGUCCUCAUGGACACCACUUGAAUCUCCACAGCACAAGAGGCACAUGGAGCUACUGGAGGAACUCCUGCAAAGGGUCAAGUAAAGGGAUGAAGGGGCGAGGGCACCUCUCCUAUGAGAAGAGAUGUGUGACUGCUUAACCUGGAGAAAAGAAGGCUCACAGGGAUGUGUGUACAUGUACCUGAAGAGGGGUUUGAAAGAACACAGAGCCAGGCUCUUAGUGGUGCCGAGACAGGCAAUAGGUUCUGGGUGGCCUUGCAGGCUGUUUAGACAAAAUGAGCUAUGGAAGACCUUUCCAACCUCAAACAUUCUCUGAUUCUGUGAAGGAAUCUAGGCUAUUUUAGGAGGCUGACAUGACAUGAAACCUACUUGAGGCAUGUGUUCUUCUGAAAUGAAAAACCGGAUACCAUGCAAUGCUUGAAGUUUUUCUCCAGUUUAUUUUACUGGAAAGAUUA